rnacentral:rRNA from 1 species
CCUACGGGCGGCAGCAGUGGGGAAUAUUGAACAAUGGGGGCAACCCUGAUCCAGCCAUGCCGCGUGUGUGAAGAAGGCCCUCGGGUUGUAAAGCACUUUCAGUGAGGAAGAACGCCUGGUGGUUAAUACCCAUCAGGAAAGACAUCACUCACAGAAGAAGCACCGGCUAACUCCGUGCCAGCAGCCGCGGUAAUACGGAGGGUGCGAGCGUUAAUCGGAAUUACUGGGCGUAAAGCGCGCGUAGGUGGCUUGAUAAGCCGGUUGUGAAAGCCCCGGGCUCAACCUGGGAACGGCAUCCGGAACUGUCAAGCUAGAGUGCAGGAGAGGAAGGUAGAAUUCCCGGUGUAGCGGUGAAAUGCGUAGAGAUCGGGAGGAAUACCAGUGGCGAAGGCGGCCUUCUGGACUGACACUGACACUGAGGUGCGAAAGCGUGGGUAGCAAACAGGAUUAGAUACCCCAGUAGUC